GCCUGGGUGGCUCAGUCGGUGAAGCAUCCGACUUCAACUCAGGUCAUGAUUUCACAGUUUGUGAGUUUGAGCCCCACAUCAGGCU
rnacentral:tRNA from 1 species